rnacentral:lncRNA from 9 species
AUUUUAAUCAGCUCAGCUUGGUUAAUGAAGAAUUUGAAUGUUGAUGAGUGGGUGAGUUCAUCAGUGUCCCCCUUAGAGGCUGUGUCAUUGUAACCUCACUAUUCAUUGAAAUCAGCUCAAGUAGAUCCAUGUUUUAGGGUGGGGAGUCAGAUAACUAGCCAAAACCAAUAGAGACUUAAUUUGGAGGCAGGAAAAAAAAAAAAAAAAAAAAAAACAAUCGGUACAUAAAGAGCUAGAGAGAUGAAUUUGGCCUGCUUUCUUUUUUGUUGCAACUCUUCAAUGCUGCCUGACAAUCAGCUCGGUUUAAUAUAAUCCCCUGGGAAGCCCACUUUCUUCCUAGGCAGGAAACUAUAAAAUGUCAGAAAUACAUAAAAGGCAGCUUACAUCUGGAAGAGAAAAGACAGGUAUGCUUCUAGAAGGAACACCUAUGAGUAGAACCCUGAGAAUUAAGCAGUUGGCACUGCUCAUCUAUUAACUUUCUUUAUUCAUAGCACAAGCACUGCAGCCUAGGAACAUGUUGAAAAUCCUCAUUCGAUAUUCCAAAGGAAGUGAUGAGCACUAGUGCUACAAAUGAAAGUCAAGGAGCAGCAGAAGGUUCACUAAAGCAAUGGACUGACCUCAACACUUUUCAAUAUAGGCAAAUGUCUUGGUUUGCUUUUAUCAAAUUACACUCAAAGGUCAUCAGAUGAGUCAACUCCUCCUUCUCCAACAGAAGAGAAUUUUCUCUUUCUCUUUGGAAAUUCCAACCCACCUUCAUAUUCAGUGCUGCAAACAACUGCUAUAAAAGUCAUGAUUACGUGUAAAACAAUAUGGUUUAAAAGGAGAGUCAUAGCACUUUUAACCCAAUUUCCAUCCUGAUCAGGCUGUAAUUGCAAAUAACAGAAGCAUAGUCACAAGAGGCAGACAUAUAGCAGGGGUGUUUGUAAGGAUUCAGGGGAGCACAGAAAACCAUGAACAGCAGUUGAAGCAACAUCCAGUCCACCCCAGAACCAGAACUUGAAGCAGAAAUCGAUUCCCCCCACCCUCUCGCUGCGCCCUCCCAGAGAUCGCAAAGUUGACUUUUACAGCCAGGGCAGUUCCAGUCCCAGGGGCCUCUCUGCACCCACCUUUCUCUGUUUCCUCAUGGCUUCGCAGCUCUCCUGUGACUUCACCACAUCCUAUAUUACUCAUGGCUCUUCCCAUGGCCCCAAAUGAUAAGAAACUCUCAGCUUAACUGGCAACUCUCCUGCCCAGGUCCCUCUGGUCAAAUCUUAAGAGACUCUGGUCAAAUCUUAAGAGAGAACAUGUGUUUGGCUCAGCCCGGUCCAAGGCUGUGAUCCUCUUCAUCAGAUGUUCAACAGGGAAGAAGGAAGCAUGUUGUACAAACAUGGACAACCUGCAGAAUCUGGGGAAAAGAAUCUAAGAUGAAAUGACUUAGAAGAAAGGACUGUGCUCUAGGAACAUUGAUUAUUGCUUGCAAAAACAUUCAAGUGUGCCAUCAGCUCCCUCUGAUUUUACCUCAACUGUUUUCUAAAUACGCUGGAUUCAAAAAGUGCUCUUAAUUUUAGAGGGCAGGGACAGAAGGAAAUCAGCAAACUGGAACCCACCUGGGUUAAACUCAGUGUGUCUGAUCAGUCAAAACUGAAACAAAUAGGGUCUGUCCCAAAAAAGCCUCUUGUAUCAACCCUCUUAAAAGUUUAAAUUGAUUCAGUCUUUGCAUCCAAAUUGGAAUACUCUCUUGUGCUGAGGUGCUUGCAGUCUAUUAUUUGUAUUUGAAUCCAUUAAAAAUGAAAUUUCCUCUGGCCUCGCUCAGUGGGUUGAGGAUCCGGCAUUGCCAUGAGCUGUGGUGUGGGUUGCAGAUGUGUCUCAGAUCCUGCGUUGCUGUGGCUGUGGCAUAGGUGGUGGCUACGGCUCCGAUUCAGUCCUUAGCCUAGGAACCUCCAUAUGCUGUGGAUUCUGUGGCUCUGGUUAUUGCUGUGGUGUGGCCUGGCCUGGGAACCUCCACAAUACAGUGGACACAGUCUAAAAAUAAAAUAUAUGAGCUUAGGGUCUGAAAAUCACAUUUUUUUCAGAUGAAAACUUGCAAGAAACAGAUUUUUUUUAAGCAUUCUGUUAGGUUUUGAGGUUGCCAAUCUUUCCUAAAAAAAUAAUGAGAUAAAACUUG